CAAUUACGUAGCGGUCCUCACACUUCCGGGAUCUCCUAAUAAAGCGACAUCAGUGAUGGUGGCUCUGCCGCACGAAAUGCUAGGCUACGUCCAGAGCACGCACCUGAAGCAGCUCCUGCCAACAUGAGGGUUGCGGGGGAGCCUUGAGCCUAUCCCAGGGAGCUCGGGGCAAUUUGGACGCCAAUCAGCCUGCGACAUGUCUUUGGACUGGGGGAGGAAACCCCUGAAUCACCCCCAACCCUGGAGGUGUAAGCUGGCAGCUGGUCAGACCAAGUUGGAUUUUUCAGCAGGGAUAUGUGGCAAUACUACUGACUCCCCUAAAAACCUGCCACUGUUCUGUCUUCUUUAGCAGCAGCCUUAAAAAACAACCCUGGCAUACAGGGUGGAUUUUACGUCCAGUGUACAUUUUGCACUGUGCAAGAACCGGGUUUGUAGAGAGUUGCCCCAUAUUCUGGCAACGGAGUUGAAUAUGUUCUUUUAGGUCAUUAUUAGUCUAGAAGAAUCUCUUGGACACGGCUGUAGACAUAGAGUCAUCAUGCUCCUCUGAUGAAGAGCAUGCAAGGUAACAAGUCAUUGGGCUAUAAGGAGGGUUCUGUUGAAGAACAUUAGCCUUCAAGUUUUGCAGUCUUAGCUACUGAAUGAUCAAUUUCAGUUGAUCCAUGUCUAUCACCAAGUUGUUAAUUUGCCUAGGAAGUGACUCAAAUUGCUUUCUGAGCUUCUUCUAUUUCUCAUCACUUGAUGUGGCCACUUGCUACUAGUAAGCUGGUUAGGCUGUGGUGUUUGAAUCAUUGUGUUUGGAUUAAUAAAAAAGGUCUGGGAGUGGCCAGCAAGUCACUCAGUUGAGGUACUUGUUAGAAAUACUAAUUAAAUAUCCUUUAGACAUUACGUUCUGUGAAGACGUAUUUCAGAUAUAAUUAUUCAUAGGAACCUGUUGAAUUAAUUUUUCCUUUGCUUAUUUUAUAUUAAUGGAAUACAUUUAUGUACAUAGACUGUCAUUAUAUCUGACAUGUAUUGUAUUUUUAAUUCCCUUAGGAUAUCAUGGGGAAAAAAAAACUUAUCAUGACUUAGGGAAAGGGUAACAUUUUCCAGCAGCCCUGUUUAAUCGUGAAUGGUGAUGGUGAGACAGACUUUAUCUCUGCUGUGUCACGGGGGACACAUAUGGCCAUGUGUCAGGUUACAGGGCAAACAGAAAUAGAACAUGCUGGAGAGCGGGGUGCCACAAGGAGCAAAAGGCAUUUCUUAUUGAUUAGAGAGGACUUGAAUUAUUCAGAGCUCCAGCAGGAGUCCAUUUUGCAGUACCUUGUUGAGAGGUGUAGGUAUUUAAACACAGGUAAUAAAUUGGUUAUGCCUUGUGAGCUCUGGUUAGGACUAUGAUUAUGAUGAAAUACUGCUUCCAACUCACAAUUUAUAGGUAAUGGAUGGACUCAUAUGUAUUGGGAUAUCUUAUCAUCACCUGUGGCAUUCUGACAAAUUGGGUUAACAUGGUGGAAUUGAGAUCGGUAUCAUUGUAAUUUGGGUAUAUCAGUUGCCAGCGUGGUAUAUCCAGCUGAUCUACAAUACAGACAGGAGAUGCCCUCUGUCAAAGCCUCUACAACUGAGCUCUGUCCCUGCAGAGAGAAAUCAGGGUUUCUUUCACAAAGCAAAAUGAACAGGAUCAAGUAAAUCACAUUGUUACACAUUGGACAUGAGGAGGUAGGUUGUUUAUGGCUGCCAUAUCGACUCAUCUAUUGCACAACAUGAAACCAUCUUGCUUUGUCAUUGUAAUGGGACAGCACCAUGAUACGUUAGCCCAAAAGAAUGGUUUGUACUUGUUGCUUUUAAUAGUAUAUGGACAUCACAAGAAAGCUGUUUGUAAGCAAGCCCUUUUUCUUGACCAGCAGCUGGCUUAUCUGUGCUGAAUAAAGGUCAGUGGUUGAAUCAGUUAGUCAUCAGAGAGAUAGGAUAUGGUGAUCUACUAGCAGAUUUACUGUAAAUAUCGUAUGAUUCAAACAGUUCAGCAGAUCUCAAAGUGUGUUCAACAUGUCAAAACCUGCCAUCAUCAAGAAUAUUGCGUAUUAAUGUCUUCUAUUACUCCAAUGAGUCAGUGCAGAUUGUUAUUUUCAUUGUCCAAAAUCUUAUGCUUUGUGUACCAGUGUUAAACAGGUACACUACAUGGCCAAACAUUUGUGGACACCUGACCAUCACACCCAUAUGUGGCUCUUCUUCAAACUGUUGACAAAAAGUUGGAAGCCUGUAUAGGAUGUCCUCGCUAAUGCUCUUGUGGCUGAGUGAACACAAGUCCCCACAACCACUCUCCAAAAUCUAUUGGAAAUCAUUUCCAGAAGAAUGGAGGUUAUUAUAACAGCAAAAGUGAGCUAAAUCUGGAAUAUGUUUAAAAAGCACAUAUGGGUGUGAUGGUCAGGUGUCUGCAAAAUUUUGCCCAUAAAUUGUAUAGGAAUGGAAAGUGAGAAUUGCCUUUUUUUUUGAGUAGAUCAGGAAGUUAUUAUUCAAGAUCACUGCUCCAGGGGAAAGGGGAGUUCGAUCCAUUGUUCAAAAUUUCAGCAUGAUUCACAUUUCUGAUGUAAAGUAAUGCAGAGUGAUACGUAGAAAAAUACAUUUUAGAGAAUUGUACUGACUUAGAUUUUUUUGCCAUGUUUGUGAUAGGAACUGGGGUCACAGGAUCUACAAUGGAGAAUAACAGCACUUUUGUUCCUUACCUAUGAGAUAAUGUUGAUAAUGAUAAUGCUAAAAUGGUAGCAAAAUCAGUUUUUUAAUACCAUUUUGCUCUUCAUGUGUUUCCUCCAGCUAGGACAGGCAGGGUUUCAUUGUACAGCACCAACAAAUUACACCAGAAAAUUUGAGGGUACUAGUAUUCUUCAGAAAACCUAUGCUUGAUGAUUAGACCAAGCGUGGACCUGACCAUGAGGUCCCUCAGGUGAUGAUCGUUCCAAAAUUGCUUCCAAGGAAUUUUAGGCAGAUGGAAAAAGAAUUGCAAGACUGCAGGUUUGAUGUCACUCCAAAAGUCAUCUCCAUACACCUUGAUUAAUUAUCCUUGAGACAUUUUCAUUAUGAAUUACCAAUCAUGGAAACUCUGAUAUUCUGUUUCCCUUGGCAUUUGAAGCACUGGCACUGUACCCUUUCAUUCCUCCUACCCUGUCCUGCUUCUACACUGGCUGCUUUAGUCUCUUUCUCACUUAUUGCUCACUCUUCAUCAGUCUGCUGCAAUUUCUCUGUAUAUUCCAGUGAUAUGGCUGACAUUUGAGAAACAAUCAACCUUCUCAUCUUUAAAUAAAUAUAAAUAAUGUCAAUAAAUGUGAACUGCAAAAUUAAAAGGUAUGUGGGCUUGCACAUAUAAAUCACAGUGAAGUAAUCAGAGAAUACUAGUUUAUACUAGUUUAUGUGUUAAAGUUCAAUCUCUUAUAACAAGUAUGACAAAAUGGUCUCUAAGGAAUAGUAAGCAUUUAUGUAUCAACUCUCUGGGUCUUUAAAAGCUUAAAAUCUCUUCCCCAACACUGCCAUUAUGAACAAUUCUAACCUUUCUGACUAAAGUUUUUGUACAAUGUUUGUUCAUUACAAAGAAAAAUGUCGUCAUUUUAUACAGAUUUUUAAAAAUGUUUUCAUAUUGACC